GGUUUUAUAGUUUAAUUAAAAUUUUAAAUUGCAAAUUUAAAGAUAGAAUAAAAUUCUUAAAACUU
rnacentral:tRNA from 1 species